rnacentral:tRNA from 1 species
GAAUUGGAGGACUGGUUAGGCCACAGAGCUCUCACCGCUGCAGCCUGGGUUCGAUUCCCAGCCAGGGAA